CCUACGGGUGGCAGCAGUGAGGAAUAUUGGUCAAUGGGCGCGAGCCUGAACCAGCCAAGUCGCGUGAGGGAAGACGGUCCUAUGGAUUGUAAACCUCUUUUGUCGGGGAGCAAAAGACGCCACGCGUGGCGUUCCGAGAGUACCCGAAGAAAAAGCAUAGGCUAACUCCGUGCCAGCAGCCGCGGUAAUACGGAGGAUGCGAGCGUUAUCCGGAUGUAUUGGGUUUAAAGGGUGCGCAGGCGGAAGAUCAAGGCAGCGGUAAAAUUGAGAGGCUCAACCUCUUCGAGCCGUUGAAACUGGUUUUCUUGAGUGAGCGAGAAGUAUGCGGAAUGCGUGGUGUAGCGGUGAAAUGCAUCGAUAUCACGCAGAACUCCGCUUGCGAAGGCAGCAUACCGGCGCUCAACUGACGCUCAUGCACGAAAGUGUGGGUAUCGAACAGGAUUAGAUACCCCUGUAGUC
rnacentral:rRNA from 1 species